CGGGAUAAUUUGAGAGACCCUUCAUCCCUCAGCUUUACCUCACUGUCUACGUCACGUGGUGCGCCUCUGACGGGGCGGUGGGCGUGUCCUAAACGGUGGGGUUUCAUUCAUAAAUACUUAUAGCUUUAAAAAGACCACAUUAAAGUGCUCACAGGAGUGUUUUGUGUUGCUGCCUUCGCCCCUCCGCCUCCCGUAUGGACCAGGCUGGUCGAGUAGCCAUGCAGCACUUUUGUCCUCUUGCUCCGGGGCCAGUGGGCCACCCCUGAGGGGGAAGCACUGAUUCUCUGGCUCGGUGGGCUGAGGAUGCAGCAACGGAGCUGAGGAGGAGAGUCCUGACACACACACACACACACACACACAAAUCCAGAGCUGCUGCUGCUGCUGCGCACUGCCCUCCAUCAGGGUAUGAUCACUGGGCUGGCAGAAAGCAGGAUGUGGUGCAGCAGUAUACUGCAAAGGAAAGCGUUUCGGUCCCGGUCUGAUGUGUUUUCCAGAAACAGUUUUCCUGCUCACUUGGUAUAGCUGCGUAUGGACAUCAGCUGGCUGGCAGCGGGGGGAACUAGGUAACAGAUUAAAGAUUGUGUUACUGAAGUUGAGCGCUGCAGUGAUUGGCUGGCAAGCACGAGGAGCUGAAUGCUGCUGGCAUGUUGCUUUUUCCUCGCUGGGGGGGACUCUCUAAUUGGCUUGGACCAUGAGCAAUGAGUCUACCGUCUGGAACAUCCUACCAGAAAACUCCACAGAGAUCCCAUUUGAAGCGGAGGAGCAGCAAGAUGGCUACGUGCUCCUCCUGGUGAUCCUCUCGAUCUUUCUGGUAGGAACACUGGUCAGCGUCUCUGUCUUCCUGGUCGUUUGCCGUCGCUGCUGUCGAGGAGGGCAGUUCUGUGCAAGGGCCAACGAUGACCCCGAGAAAACUGCCCCUUUCAUGGGGGAGUCUCAUCCCACCAAUGGUAAGUAAUCCAGGAACUGUCACAGUCAGCAGUGGAAGAUCUACAGCCAUUACUGUAUAAUGUCGC